AUUGAACGCUGGCGGCAUGCCUUACACAUGCAAGUCGAACGGCAGCGCGGGGCAACCUGGCGGCGAGUGGCGAACGGGUGAGUAAUAUAUCGGAACGUACCCUGGAGUGGGGGAUAACGUAGCGAAAGUUACGCUAAUACCGCAUACGAUCUAAGGAUGAAAGCAGGGGACCGCAAGGCCUUGUGCUCCUGGAGCGGCCGAUAUCUGAUUAGCUAGUUGGUGGGGUAAAGGCCUACCAAGGCAUCGAUCAGUAGCUGGUCUGAGAGGACGACCAGCCACACUGGAACUGAGACACGGUCCAGACUCCUACGGGAGGCAGCAGUGGGGAAUUUUGGACAAUGGGCGCAAGCCUGAUCCAGCAAUGCCGCGUGAGUGAAGAAGGCCUUCGGGUUGUAAAGCUCUUUUGUCAGGGAAGAAACGGUGRAGGCUAAUAUCCUUUGCUAAUGACGGUA
rnacentral:rRNA from 1 species